AUUGAACGCUGGCGGCAUGCUUUACACAUGCAAGUCGAACGGUAACAGGUUAAGCUGACGAGUGGCGAACGGGUGAGUAAUGCAUCGGAACGUGCCCGGUCGUGGGGGAUAACACUUCGAAAGAAGUGCUAAUACCGCAUACGAUCUGAGGAUGAAAGCGGGGGACCGUAAGGCCUCGCGCGAUCGGAGCGGCCGAUGUCAGAUUAGGUAGUUGGUGGGGUAAAGGCCUACCAAGCCGACGAUCUGUAGCUGGUCUGAGAGGACGACCAGCCACAAUGGGACUGAGACACGGCCCAGACUCCUACGGGAGGCAGCAGUGGGGAAUUUUGGACAAUGGGCGCAAGCCUGAUACAGCAAUGCCGCGUGCAGGAAGAAGGCCUUCGGGUUGUAAACUGCUUUUGUACGGAGCGAAAAGGCUCUCUCUAAUACAGGGGGCUGAUGACGGUACCGUAAGAAUAAGCACCGGCUAACUACGUGCCAGCCGCCGCCGUAAGAC
rnacentral:rRNA from 1 species